rnacentral:rRNA from 1 species
GACGAACGCUGGCGGCGUGCUUAACACAUGCAAGUCGAACGGAAAGGCCCUGCUUUUGUGGGGUGCUCGAGUGGCGAACGGGUGAGUAACACGUGAGUAACCUGCCCUUGACUUUGGGAUAACUUCAGGAAACUGGGGCUAAUACCGGAUAGGAUCUCCUGCUGCAUGGUGGGGGUUGGAAAGUUUCGGCGGGUGGGGAUUGACUCGCGGCUUAUCAGCUUGUUGGUGGGGUAGUGGCUUCCCCAGGCUUUGAAGGGUAGGCGGCCUGAGAGGGUGACCGGGAACAGGGGGACUGAGGUACGGCGCAGAGGCAUACGGGAGGCAGCAGGGGGGAAUAUGGCACAGUGGGAGGAAGCCGGAGGCAGAAACGCCGCGGGCGUGAUGACGGCCUGCGGGUUGUAAACCGCUUUAGCCUGUGACGAAGCGUGAGUGACGGUAAUGGAUAAAGAAGCACCGGCUAACUACGUG